GAGAAACCUCAUGAUGAUUACGGAAUGGAGAACAAACGGCUGGUGAUGGAGUUA
rnacentral:sRNA from 1 species